UACAGAGGUGGCAAGCGUUGUUCGGAAUUACUGGGCGUAAAGGGCGCGUAGGCGGCCAUCUAAGUCAGACGUGAAAUCCCCCGGCUUAACCUGGGAACUGCGUCUGAUACUGGACGGCUGGAGUUUGGGAGAGGGAUGUAGAAUUCCAGGUGUAGCGGUGAAAUGCGUAGAUAUCUGGAGGAAUACCGGUGGCGAAGGCGGCAUCCUGGACCAAUACUGACGCUGAGGCGCGAAAGCGUGGGGAGCGAACAGG
rnacentral:rRNA from 1 species